UUAAUAAAAAAAGUCUUAUAAGAUUUUUAAAGACCGUGUGAGAUUGUAUUGAUUCUGUGAGAUUUUAAAAGACUUUUUAUGUAAAAGACUUUAUACACUCAAGAUUUUAAAGGAUUUAUCACACUGACUUUUAAAAAUUUCAAAGGAUUUUAUGUUAUUUUAAAAUUUCAAAGAAUUAAAUGAAUUUUAGGGGAAAAAGAACAUACUUACAAGCGUGAAUGAUAGAAAUAAUGAACAAAUAAAUUCUAGCGUCUGAAUAAAGAAAAAUAAAACCAAUAAAAAAAUAUUUUACUAUUGAUUUUCAAAUUUUAAGAAUUUUAUGGAUUUUAUAAGAUUUUAAGGGACUAAAAAACACUCUAACACAUUAUUCUCAAUACACAUUUUUUAUUUGUUAAAAAUGUUAUUCCCACAAAAUUCAAUUGUACAUAUUUAAAAUCAACACUUACAAAUCUUUCAAAAAAAAUAUAUUGUGUCAGCCAUUACAAAUCGGUUGAGUUUACCCGAGUUUACCAAGUGUUAACUCAGUCAAACUCGUUAAACCUUUCGAUUUUACCAGAAACCGAGUUUACCUCAGAGUUAACACUCGAUUUACAAAACAUUGAUUACGUCAUACUCUCUAUCAUAAUAUUCUCAAUACAAUUUUUUAUUUUUUUAUGAGAUAGAGAGAGGGAGAGAGGGCGGAUGAGAGAUGAGAGAGAGAGAAUGGAGAGAUAGAGAAACGAAGAGAGAAAGGAGAGAAUACGGAGGGGGAGGGAGAGAGAGAGAGAGAGAGAGAGAGAGAGAGAGAGAGAGAGAGAGAGAGAAAUGAGAAGAAAGAGAUAGUAACUUUUAAAAGAAAAACAAUCUCAAGAAAUCUCAUCUUUUCAUGAAAGACUUUUUCUUAUUAAAAUCCCACUACAAAAUCCAUCAAAAUCCAAUUUAUUAAACAAUCUUUUGAAAUUUGAAUGAUUUUGAAUACCACAAGACUUUUUUUAAGUGAUGAAAAGUCUUGAUUGAAUACCUCAAUACUUUUUUAAAAUGACAAAGAGUCUUGAUUGAAUACCACAAGACUUUUUCAUAAUUAAAAAGUCUUUUAAAAUCUCAUAGAAUCCUAAUCCAAUACAUCCCCCUUAACCUCAAUGCACACGUAUAAUACUUCUCAGUGCACUAUUAGAUAGAAAAGGAAAACUUACAUGCUUUUGUUUAAUAAUUUCUAUUGCUGCAUAUAUUUUUGUGUCUAAUCCAUGGUUGCAGCUGUCAACACAAGAACAAUGAAACACAUCAAAAGUAUCCGAUAAUUUAUACUUUCUAAAUGAGUUCUAAUAAAACUAAAGAUUUCAAUACAUGCUUCAAGGUAAUUAUUUUAAUUGAGUAAUCAAGCAAAAGCAUCCAAAAGGUCUUUGAUUAUUUAUUACCAAUGAAGCACGGACACUCCUUGGAUUAGGUGUGUCCUAGUGUCAGACGCGUGUCGUGUCCGACACCGACACCGACCCUUGUAAUUGCACUGAAUUAUGUGAUUUUCUCAAAUUAUUAGUUGUGUCGGCGUGUCAGUGUCCGUGUCAUCUCCGGUGUCCGUAUCCGUGCUUCAUAGUUUAUUACUCAGAAAAAAGAAGAAAAAAACAUCACAUAUGCACACUGUUUUUGUUUCUAAUGUUUUUUAUAUGGAAUUCUCAUGUUUACUUUUUUCUUUCUUACCAAGAAUAUUUUGAAGAGGAUGGAAUUAUUAGAAAAGCCAGCACAAGAGAGAGAAGGUGACAAAAGAGAAACAUCAAGGAAUAGGUGAGAGAUUAAGGGCCUGUUUGAAAUAGUUUUUGUUUUCAGUUUUUGAAAUAUACAAGUCCUCUUCUCACAAUAGUUAUCCUUUUACAUGUUUUAGUUUUAGUCCCCAAAACAAAAAAAUUCAAAACAGUUUUGAAAACUGUAAUUUUAAAAAAUAGUUUAGCAAAAAAGUUUUUAAUUUUCAAGUUUUUAAAAAACUGAAAAAGAGUUUUUGAGAAGUGUUUCAAACAGGCUCUUAAGUAACAUAUGCAAAAUAUUCUUUUACAUGAUAUAACAAAUAGGAUUCUUACCACUUACAUUUACUUAUGCAGCUGGAUUGCCCUUCGCCAGCAUUUCUGCUGCUUUUGGUUGGAUUUGGAGACCUACAUUGAGGACAAUAACAUUUGGAGAAUAGUCAAUGACUAUAAAUAUAGAAACAAAAGAAGAUUUGAAACAAAAACAGUGUAUAAAAAUCAUCAGUGACUAUAAACAUUAGAAGAUUUGACCAAAUCUCAGUCACUAAUCAUUUUCACACUAUUAUAUAUGUACAGAUUUGUGAUAGUGAUUACAAGUGGGUGAUGAGGGUUUACAUAGGGGAAUGUAGAAUUUUAGUAAGGCUGUAUGCAANNNNNNNNNNNNNNNNNNNNNNNNNNNNNNNNNNNNNNNNNNNNNNNNNNNNNNNNNNNNNNNNNNNNNNNNNNNNNNNNNNNNNNNNNNNNNNNNNNNNUGUUUUUCUUUAGUCUCUUUAGUAUCCUUUUCUUUCUUCUUUGGACAUUCAUUAGCAUAAUGUCCCUCUACAUUACAUAUCCAGCAUACACAUUUCUUUUUUCCUUUUGGGCAAUAUUUUCUAGGUGUUUGUCUCUUUUUCCUAAAAUACUUUUUCUUAGUAUUUUUAUUGGCUCUUUUCUUUGGAUAGGUUUUUCUUAACCUUGGUUUUCUUCUAGGAUUUUUCCUACUUCUUUUACUACAACCAUAAUUUCCGGGUAAGUCUAAGUCUAAUUUGUUACAACAAAGUGAAGUACUUCCUAGAUUUAAGUUUUUAAUUUUUUCCCUUUCUAGACACUGAUUUCUUAUUUCUUCAUAUAAAAUUUGUAUUACUCCUGCUAAGGUAUCACCUAAUUCUUCUGGUCGAGAUUUCCAUUUUUCUCUUAUACUUGUACUAAGUGGAUAAGGUAAUUUAGAUAUAAAUAUAUUUGUAUAUAUUAAUUGAGUUUUCCUAUCUAAAUCAUAAUAAUAUUUUUUAAAUUCACAAAUAAAGCUAUCUAUCUCGCACAUAUUGCAUAUUUGCAUAUUAUUUAAAUGAGCUUCUGCUCUUUCUCUUAAGCGUUUAUUUACUUUUGCUUUAUGUUCAAGGAUAUUAAACCCUAUAAAUUCCUUAUAUAUUAAUCCUAUUAUUAAUUUGGCAAAUUGUUGAUUAUUUUCAGUAAUUCUAGCAUAUUGUUGCCAAGUUUCAUCCUCAAUACUUGUUAAAAAUUUUAGCACAUUCCCUGUUGUUCAAUAAGCUAUUAAAUUCUUAACACCCAUUAGAUUUACCUUACUAAAUCUCUCAUCGGUUGCUAGAAGCAUAAUCAUAUUAUUAGACCAUCUUUCUAAUAUUUCUUCUGGAUUUCUUACGCAAUCAAGGUUUAGUAAUUUUUUAGAUUUUCCUUCUUCAUAAUGGGGUUUAAAUUCAUCCGAAAUCUUUGUCCAUUUUCCGUUAGCUCUAGUAUAUCCUCUACGAUUCAUUGUUUCAUUUUCAUAGUUUUCCCAAGAACUAAGUGGGUUCCAAUUAUCUUCUCUUUUUCUUUUUGAUUUUGAAUUACUUGUCUCUCCUCUCUCCAUAAAUAUUUCAUCAAAAUCAGAAUCAGAUCCUAUAUUAGAUCCUAUUUCGGAUUCUAAAUCUGAGGAAUUAUAAUUUAAUAUUACUUCUUCAUUUUCUUCUUUAGUUUUUAUUUUUUCUACUUUUUCUAAACUUAUUGGUUUAUUUUCUUGUUCGACUAUUUUUAAUUGUUCCAUUAAUUGUUUAAUUUCUUCCAUAUCAUUGGAUCUCCUAAUUGAUUCCAUAUAUUCAGUUUUUAUCCCCUCCAUGAAGAUAUUGGGUUUAUUAACAUAGAUGGUAUUAAUGGUUCUUGUUUAACUAUUUUAUCUAAUUGUUUUACUUCUCUUGUUUUAUUUAAUAAUUCUUCUAUAUCUUUUAUUGUUAUACUUCUAUUAUUUUCUUCAUAAUCUAAAUGAUUUUCUAGUUGCUGAAGAGCUUCUCUAAUUUUAAAAAUGUUUUCAUCUUCAUUAAUUCCUUUUAUAUUGUCUAAAGUUUCGUAUAUACUAUUUAUUUCACUACGUUCAAUUUUAAUUUUAUUAAAUGUGUGAUCUAGAAUUUUAUUAGUUUUUUCUAUUAAUAAAAUGAUAUUAUUAUUUAUUUCAAUCAUGGUAUUGUUUAUUUCUUUAUACAUUAAUUCUAUUUCUUUGGAUAAAGUCAUUAUUUAAAAAAGGUCGUCGCUAAUUGGUUAUUUUCUAGUAGUGACUUAACUCCCCUUUUAUUUUACUUAACUCCCACUUAAUUCACUUAAUUAUUAAUUAACCCCCAAAACUCCAAUAAUUACUAAUUCUCACUUAUACUAUUAAAUAAUACAAAUAGUCAUUUAAUAAAAUACACCACACCAUAAAAUCAACAUAAAUCAUUUAAAAUCACAUAAAUCAUCAAAGUGGACUCUAAACUCUAUAAAAUAAUUAAAUAAUUAAAGAGGGCGUUACAAAUGAUAUUGUCGAGUGAUUGUGAUAAUAUCGUUUAAAAAGCUAGAAACUGUUAAUUGAUCGAGAGAUUGCAGCUGUUACGCUUGAUUGAUAUCUCUAACCCCAAGCGAAAUGGUCAUAUCUCUUCUCUAUUUAUUUUAUGUCAAAUAGUUUAUAUAGUUUACACAAACAGACAUUUUAAAUCCAUACACUUAGAACAAUAUUGAUUGUUGAAUGGCUUGAAUAUCGCGCUAGUCCCUCUGGAGACGAUAUACACAAAAAUACUUACUUUUGAUUGAUAGAAAAAUACUACAUCAUAACCCUCCACGGCCAGCUUCUUAGAGGGAUUAUGGCCGCUUAGGCCACGGAAGUUUAAGGCAAUAACAGGUCUGUGAUGCCCUUCGAUGUUCUGGGCCGCACGCGCGCUACACUGAUGUAUUCAACGAGUCUAUAGCCUUGGCCGAUAGGCCCGGGUAAUCUUUGAAAUUUCAUCAUGAUGGUGAUAGAUCAUUGCAAUUGUUGAUCUUCAACGAGGAAUUCCUAGUAAGUGCGAGUCAUCAGCUCACGUUGACUACGUCCCUGCCCUUUGUACACACCGCCCAUCGCUCCUACCGAUUGAAUGGUCCGGUGAAGUGUUCGGAUUGCGGCGACGUGGGCGGUCCGCUGCCUGCGACGUUGUGAGAAGUCCACUGAACCUUAUCAUUUAGAGAAAGGAGAAAUCGUAACAAGGUUUUCGUAGGUGAACCUGUAGAAGGAUCAUUGUCGAUGCCUUACAUGCAGUCCAACACCUGAAUCAGUUUGAAUACAUAUGGGCUGGCUUGAGGUGUUCUGCACCUCGGCUUACCUCUGGUUUAGAAGAAUAUGACGAAGUGCGACCUCCUUUGUGCCAAAACUCAAACCCCAGCGCUGAAUUCAUCAAGGAAUUUAAAAGUUUGCUCUGAGCACACCUGCAUGACACCGGAGACGGUUUUCGUGUGUGUUGUGUUUUGACACAUUAUAUAGAAUGACUCUCGGAAACAGAUAUCUAGGCUCUUGCAUCGAUGAAGAAAGUAGCGAAAUGCGAUACUUGGUGUGACUUGCAGAAUCCCAAGAACCAUCGAGUCUUUGAACGCAAGUUGCGCCCAAUGCCAUUAGGUUGGGGGCACGUCUGCCUGGGUGUCCCAUAUCGAAUCCCCUUGCCAAUUUCCUAUUGAAUAGAUAUUUCCUGCAGGGUGAAUAUGUUGGCCUCCCGUGAGCUCUGUCUCGUGGUUGGUUGAAAAUUGAGACCUUGGUAGGGUGUGCCAUGAUAGAUGGUGGAUGUGUGACCCACGAGACCACAUGUGUUUUGUAACGCUUGUGAUGAGACCUCAGGUCAGGCGGGGCUACCCGCUGAAUUUAAGCAUAUCAAUAAGCGGAGGAAAAGAAACUAACAAGGAUUCCCUUAGUAACGGCGAGCGAACCGGGAUAAGCCCACCAUGAGAAUCGGUCGCCCUCGGCGUUCGAAUUGUAGUUUGGAGAAGCGUCCUCAGCGACAAAUUGGGCCCAAGUCCCUUGGAAAGGGGCGCCAAAGAGGGUGAGAGCCUCGUUGUGCUCGUUCCUAGUCGCACCACGAGGCGCUGUCGACGAGUCAGGUUGUUUGGGAAUUCAGCCCCAAUCGGGCGGUAAAUUCCGUCCAAGGCUAAAUAUUGGUGAUAGACAGAUAGCGAACAAGUACCGCAGACAUCAUCAUCAAGAUUGUGGGCUACAGCGCGUGCUGAUUCGGUGUGCUUCGGCACAUGCACGCUCCUAGCGUCGGCCUGUGGGCUCCCCAUUCGAAACUUCUUGAAACACGUUAGGCGCAAGGAAGCUGAUUGGUGGGAUCCUCUUGUGGGUUGCACCGCCGACCGACCCCGAUCUUUUGUGAAGGGUUCGAAUGAGAGCAUACCUGUCGAGACUCGAAAGAUGGUGAACUAUGCCUGAGCGAGGCGAAGCCAGAGGAAACUCUGGUGGAGGCCCGCAGCGAUACUGACUUGCAAAUUGUUCGUCUGACUUGAGAGGUGUGGGAUAAGUGGGAGCUGGAAACAGCGAAAGUGAAAUACCACUACUUUUAACGUUAUUUUGCUUAUUCUGUGAAUCGGAGACGGGGCGCUGCCCCUCUUUUUAAAUCCAAGGCCGACUUUGGUUGGUCGAUCCGGGCGGAAGACAUUGUUAGGUUGGGAGUUUGGCUGGGGCGGCACAUCUGUUAAAAGAUAACGCAAGUGUCCCAAGAUGAGCUCAACGAGAACAGAAAUCUCGUGUGGAACAAAAGGUCUUUUGAUUCUGAUUUCCAGUACAAAUAUGAACCGUGAAAGCGUGGUCUAUCGAUCCUUUAGCCCUUCGAUAUUUGAAGCUAGAGGUGUCAGAAAAAAUAUCACAGGGAUAACUGGCUUGUGGCAGCCAAGCGUUCAUAGUGACGUUGCUUUUGGAUCCUUCGAUGUCGGCUCUUCCUAUCAUUGUGAAGCAGAAUUCACCAAGUGUUGGAUUGUUCACCCACCAAUAGGGAACGUGAGCUGGGUUUAGACCGUCGUGAGACAGGUUAGUUUUACCCUAAUGAUGAUAGUGUCGCAAUAGUAAUUCAACCUAGUACGAGAGGAACCGUUGAUUCGCACAAUUUGUCAUCGCGCUUGGUUGAAAAGCCAGUGGCACGAAUCUACCGUGCGUUGGAUUAUGAAUGAACGUCUCUAAGUCAGAAUCCGGGCAGAAGCGAUGUGUGUUCCUGUCGUUCACAUGUCGACCAGCAGUAGGGGGCCUUGGCCCCCCCAGAGGCACGUGCCGUUGGUGGACCUCGUAAGGCGGAUGAACCUUACGGGACACUUUGAAACGCAAUUCCUAUUGAGCGGCGGGUAGAAUCCUUUGCAGACGACUUAAAUACGCGACGAGGUAUUGUAAGUGGCAGAGUGGCCUUGCUGCCACGAUCCACUGAGAUUUAGCCCUUGUCGCUUCGAUUCGUCCCUCCCAACCCACAUGUAGCCUGCCACCCACGCGUGCCUAAGGGUUUAGAAGUCAUGAACGCCAAGGCAUAUGCUAUGCCCUGGCGAGGAAGGACCUCGCUAUCAAAACGCCAAGGGGGUUAGACUUGCAUUACUUGUCAUGUUUCUCGACUCACUUCUAUUCGAUUGGCCUUGUGAAAAUGGAAGAACGUGGGUUGAGUUUUGUGGGGAAGUCGCAGCGUGGUGCCUUUGCCCACCAAGUGUUGUGCAUGGACGACACCUCUAUUGCUUAUACACUCAAUGUGUUGUGUUGCUAGCCUCUUAAAAGGAUGCGCUCAAAACUCAGACGUCCACCUACGUUCUUGCGAUUUUGCACUCUUUGGUCGAAAAACCAGCUCAAAGAGAUGCCUCCAAAAAACCAGCUCAACAUUCGAUUUCUAGGUCGAUGUUUUGAUGUCACGCUUUCUUGACUUUUUGGCGCUUAAAAUAUUCGCACUUAACGAAUCCCGCGAGCAAAAACGCCAAAAUUUCUCGGUGGAGGUCCUUAUGAUGUCCCAAACAUGCCUGAAUUUUGAGGAACAANNNNNNNNNNNNNNNNNNNNNNNNNNNNNNNNNNNNNNNNNNNNNNNNNNNNNNNNNNNNNNNNNNNNNNNNNNNNNNNNNNNNNNNNNNNNNNNNNNNNUUUAAUAAAUUGGAUUUUGAUGGAUUUUGGUAGUGGGAUUUUAAUAAGAAAAAGUCUUUCAUGAAAAGAUGAGAUUUCUUGAGAUUGUUUUUCUUUUAAAAGUUACUAUCUCUUUCUUCUCAUUUCUCUCUCUCUCUCUCUCUCUCUCUCUCUCUCUCUCUCUCUCUCUCUCUCUCUCUCUCUCCCUCCCCCUCCGUAUUCUCUCCUUUCUCUCUUCGUUUCUCUAUCUCUCCAUUCUCUCUCUCUCAUCUCUCAUCCGCCCUCUCUCCCUAUCUCAUAAAAAAAUAAAAAAUUGUAUUGAGAAUAUUAUGAUAGAGAGUAUGACGUAAUCAAUGUUUCGUAAAUCGAGUGUUAACUCUGAGGUAAACUCGGUUUCUGGUAAAAUCGAAAGGUUUAACGAGUUUGACUGAGUUAACACUUGGUAAACUCGGGUAAACUCAACCGAUUUGUAAUGGCUGACACAAUAUAUUUUUUUUGAAAGAUUUGUAAGUGUUGAUUUUAAAUAUGUACAAUUGAAUUUUGUGGGAAUAACAUUUUUAACAAAUAAAAAAUGUGUAUUGAGAAUAAUGUGUUAGAGUGUUUUUUAGUCCCUUAAAAUCUUAUAAAAUCCAUAAAAUUCUUAAAAUUUGAAAAUCAAUAGUAAAAUAUUUUUUUAUUGGUUUUAUUUUUCUUUAUUCAGACGCUAGAAUUUAUUUGUUCAUUAUUUCUAUCAUUCACGCUUGUAAGUAUGUUCUUUUUCCCCUAAAAUUCAUUUAAUUCUUUGAAAUUUUAAAAUAACAUAAAAUCCUUUGAAAUUUUUAAAAGUCAGUGUGAUAAAUCCUUUAAAAUCUUGAGUGUAUAAAGUCUUUUACAUAAAAAGUCUUUUAAAAUCUCACAGAAUCAAUACAAUCUCACACGGUCUUUAAAAAUCUUAUAAGACUUUUUUUAUUAAAAUAGUCUUUUAAAAUCCUAAUUCAAUACUCCCCCUAAAUAUAAUUGUUCUUCACUUGGACGUAUUAUACCUGUGCAGUUAAGAAAUCAAAUGUGAAAAGAACAUUAAAAUUGACUGCUAGUUAAGAACAUAAUAUAGUUAAUGUGUAGUGUACUUUAAUUAAAUGGACGGUGGUGCUAAAACUUCAAAAGAAACACAUGCUUAAUAAAAGAUUGGCCGGUUCUCCAAUUUUUUUACCCAAAAUGAAUUCAUCACAUAGUUUUUAUCUUUGGCUUGGAUUUUAUCGAAAUAAACUGCUGACUUUGAUAAAAGAAAAUGUGGUUAUUAAAAGCCUAGUUGUCAUGGAAAUGUUUGAAUAGCACCUAUAAAUUAAGUUGCUAUUGUAAAGCUAGAAAUAUAUUUGAAGACCUCUCUCUUUUCAGGAAAGCGUCCAAGGUAAGGGCACUUCCCCAUACUUGCUAAUGUAAACUAUUUCGAAGUUACUUUAUUAUUAUAAAGUACACAUAAAAGUUUAUAAUUUAUAAUAAAAAUAAGGAGUUUUAUAGAAUUGAUAUAUAAGUAAUAGAGUUUUAUCUCUAAAAAAGAUAAGCUGCAUAAAUUGAACUGUUCAUUAAAAUAAAUAGUUUUCAACGGCAUGUAUGAUCGAUUCAUUUAGCAAUCACAUUGCAUUUUUUGCUUAAGAUGCAUGUAUGAUGAAGUUGCUAGCUUUUCCUUAUUCUAGUUUUGCAUGAGAAAUCUCCAAGAAUAAUUCCAUAUUCGUAGUCUUUGUAUUGGCAGCAAAAGAAAGAAUUAAAAGAACAACUUUUAAAAAUAUAUCCUUUUACUCGUCUGGUUACAACAUAGAGAGAGUAAACUAAAAAAAUAUACUCCUAAUUGCCAAAUCCACCAACCAAAACUUAGAAUUAAAAACCACCGUGUUUCUCUUGGAGAAGGUACAAUAUAUACUAUGAAAUCCAUAGAUUACUAAACUAAUUCUUUUAUUGCAAUGAAUUAUGUACGUUAGAAAUUCACAGAGUCUAGCAAUGAAUUAUGUACUUUAUAAAGGAGUGAUUUAAAGUAUAUAGAUUAUGAAUGAUUAAAAUAUGAAGCAAUGGUUUGAGGGAGAGACACAUAAGCAAAGUAGGAGAAUGCUUAAGAUUAAAAAUAGGGUAUUGGUGAGCUGACACAUAAGCAAAUUGCACCUUAGAAUACAUGUAGAUAGAGAUAGAGAUAGAGAUUGCCUGAAUGGCUUACCCAUUAUUGUCAUAAGUUUUUUUCCAUUUCCUACCAUUUAUGCAUAAUUUUGUUGUCUCUUAUUUUUCCUAUCAAAACUCUUUUUUUUUUUUCCAUUUUUUUUUUUUUUGCAAUUCAGCCAACUAGUACUAAUUGUUUUCUGAAACAACAGUUGAGAAAAUGGCACAAAAUGCAAGAAUGGCUGCGGAAGCUUAUCGCACUGCAAAUCCACAUUUUAUAUCAAAAGUCACUAGGGGAAAUAAUGCGGUGAUGGUUUUAUUUUGUUGUUUUUAUUUAAAUCAAAUAUUAAAUUAUUUAUGUUGCCUAAUUGAUCUCUGGUCUAUUUUGUAGNNNNNNNNNNNNNNNNNNNNNNNNNNNNNNNNNNNNNNNNNNNNNNNNNNNNNNNNNNNNNNNNNNNNNNNNNNNNNNNNNNNNNNNNNNNNNNNNNNNNGGUCGACUCUCAGAGGAUCCCCCUUAGAAUUAAAAACCACCGUGUUUCUCUUGGGAGAAGGUACAAUAUAUACUAUGAAAUCCAUAGAUUACUAAACUAAUUCUUUUAUUGCAAUGAAUUAUGUACGUUAGAAAUUCACAGAGUCUAGCAAUGAAUUAUGUACUUUAUAAAGGAGUGAUUUAAAGUAUAUAGAUUAUGAAUGAUUAAAAUAUGAAGCAAUGGUUUGAGGGAGAGACACAUAAGCAAAGUAGGAGAAUGCUUAAGAUUAAAAAUAGGGUAUUGGUGAGCUGACACAUAAGCAAAUUGCACCUUAGAAUACAUGUAGAUAGAGAUAGAGAUAGAGAUUGCCUGAAUGGCUUACCCAUUAUUGUCAUAAGUUUUUUUCCAUUUCCUACCAUUUAUGCAUAAUUUUGUUGUCUCUUAUUUUUCCUAUCAAAACUCUUUUUUUUUUUUUUCCAUUUUUUUUUUUUUUGCAAUUCAGCCAACUAGUACUAAUUGUUUUCUGAAACAACAGUUGAGAAAAUGGCACAAAAUGCAAGAAUGGCUGCGGAAGCUUAUCGCACUGCAAAUCCACAUUUUAUAUCAAAAGUCACUAGGGGAAAUAAUGCGGUGAUGGUUUUAUUUUGUUGUUUUUAUUUAAAUCAAAUAUUAAAUUAUUUAUGUUGCCUAAUUGAUCUCUGG
rnacentral:lncRNA from 1 species